UCCUUGCUGCAGAUAAAGCAUCCCUUGGAGUUCUUAUUUCUUGGACGCGAUUUGGAUCGUCCAUGUCUGCUCUUGGAUCUCCCCUUAUAGGGUUUUCCACCUCCUUUGCCAGAGCGAUGGUCUGAUCUCCCUCUCUCAACCAUCAGACCUUCUCCACCUGACCUGGGUCAACAGCAGGUGCAGGCUUGACGAUUCCAGCAAGCCCCUUUCCAGUAUCUUUCAUGGCAGAUUAUGGUUCAUCCUUAGUAUCAGGAUCAUCUUUUAAAAGCUUCUCGUCGGUGAGAAUAGCUUUCAAGCCGAGUACUCCAAAGUGAGCCAGCAUCCUCACUUUCCAUAGGGCGAAAUCACCAUCACCCUCAAACCGGUCUAUCUCAAUACGUUCCUUCGACUUCACCAUCGAGCAGGUAAAGCUGGAGUGGGCCUGUGCAUUUUGGUUCUGGCCCAAGGAGAAUGUCGAAGCCCAAAACUCACAAAGCCUUGGUCUAUGUUGUUUGGAAGGAAAGAAACACGAGGCUCCACACUUCUGCAAAUAAACUUCCCUUGCCUCUCGUCAAAGAGAUAAAAGGGGUGUUGAAAGCGAAGCUGUUUGGUCUCGAUCGUGCAACUCUGGU